UGCAAUAUAGCUAUUUUGUG
rnacentral:miRNA from 1 species